rnacentral:rRNA from 1 species
CCUACGAGCGGCAGCAGUGGGGAAUAUUGCGCAAUGGGCGAAAGCCUGACGCAGCGACGCCGCGUGAGGGAUGAAGGUCUUCGGAUCGUAAACCUCUGUCAGCAGGGAAGAACGGUCACUGUGCUAAUCAGCAGUGAAUUGACGGUACCUGCAAAGGAAGCACCGGCUAACUCCGUGCCAGCAGCCGCGGUAAUACGGAGGGUGCGAGCGUUAAUCGGAAUUACUGGGCGUAAAGCGCUCGUAGGCGGGAUGUUAAGUCAAGGGUGAAAUCCCCGCGCUCAACGUGGGAACUGCCUUUGAAACUGGCAAACUGGAGUGUGUGAGAGGAUAGUAGAAUUCCAGGUGGAGGAGUGAAAUGCGUAGAGAUCUGGAGGAACAUCAGUGGCGAAGGCGACUAUCUGGCACAUAACUGACGCUGAGGAGCGAAAGCGUGGGUAGCAAACAGGAUUAGAUACCCCUGUAGGC